rnacentral:rRNA from 1 species
UUAAGCGACUAAGCGUACACGGUGGAUGCCCUGGCAGUCAGAGGCGAUGAAGGACGUGCUAAUCUGCGAUAAGCGUCGGUAAGGUGAUAUGAACCGUUAUAACCGGCGAUUUCCGAAUGGGGAAACCCAGUGUGUUUCGACACACUAUCAUUAACUGAAUCCAUAGGUUAAUGAGGCGAACCGGGGGAACUGAAACAUCUAAGUACCCCGAGGAAAAGAAAUCAACCGAGAUUCCCCCAGUAGCGGCGAGCGAACGGGGAGCAGCCCAGAGCCUGAAUCAGUGUGUGUGUUAGUGGAAGCGUCUGGAAAGGCGNGUGUGACUGCGUACCUUUUGUAUAAUGGGUCAGCGACUUAUAUUCUGUAGCAAGGUUAACCGAAUAGGGGAGCCGAAGGGAAACCGAGUCUUAACUGGGCGUUAAGUUGCAGGGUAUAGACCCGAAACCCGGUGAUCUAGCCAUGGGCAGGUUGAAGGUUGGGUAACACUAACUGGAGGACCGAACCGACUAAUGUUGAAAAAUUAGCGGAUGACUUGUGGCUGGGGGUGAAAGGCCAAUCAAACCGGGAGAUAGCUGGUUCUCCCCGAAAGCUAUUUAGGUAGCGCCUCGUGAAUUCAUCUCCGGGGGUAGAGCACUGUUUCGGCAAGGGGGUCAUCCCGACUUACCAACCCGAUGCAAACUGCGAAUACCGGAGAAUGUUAUCACGGGAGACACACGGCGGGUGCUAACGUCCGUCGUGAAGAGGGAAACAACCCAGACCGCCAGCUAAGGUCCCAAAGUCAUGGUUAAGUGGGAAACGAUGUGGGAAGGCCCAGACAGCCAGGAUGUUGGCUUAGAAGCAGCCAUCAUUUAAAGAAAGCGUAAUAGCUCACUGGUCGAGUCGGCCUGCGCGGAAGAUGUAACGGGGCUAAACCAUGCACCGAAGCUGCGGCAGCGACGCUGAUGCGUUGUUGGGUAGGGGAGCGUUCUGUAAGCCUGCGAAGGUGUGCUGUGAGGCAUGCUGGAGGUAUCAGAAGUGCGAAUGCUGACAUAAGUAACGAUAAAGCGGGUGAAAAGCCCGCUCGCCGGAAGACCAAGGGUUCCUGUCCAACGUUAAUCGGGGCAGGGUGAGUCGACCCCUAAGGCGAGGCCGAAAGGCGUAGUCGAUGGGAAACAGGUUAAUAUUCCUGUACUUGGUGUUACUGCGAAGGGGGGACGGAGAAGGCUAUGUUGGCCGGGCGACGGUUGUCCCGGUUUAAGCGUGUAGGCUGGUUUUCCAGGCAAAUCCGGAAAACUAAGGCUGAGGCGUGAUGACGAGGCACUACGGUGCUGAAGCAACAAAUGCCCUGCUUCCAGGAAAAGCCUCUAAGCAUCAGGUAACAUCAAAUCGUACCCCAAACCGACACAGGUGGUCAGGUAGAGAAUACCAAGGCGCUUGAGAGAACUCGGGUGAAGGAACUAGGCAAAAUGGUGCCGUAACUUCGGGAGAAGGCACGCUGAUAUGUAGGUGAAGUCCCUCGCGGAUGGAGCUGAAAUCAGUCGAAGAUACCAGCUGGCUGCAACUGUUUAUUAAAAACACAGCACUGUGCAAACACGAAAGUGGACGUAUACGGUGUGACGCCUGCCCGGUGCCGGAAGGUUAAUUGAUGGGGUCAGCGCAAGCGAAGCUCUUGAUCGAAGCCCCGGUAAACGGCGGCCGUAACUAUAACGGUCCUAAGGUAGCGAAAUUCCUUGUCGGGUAAGUUCCGACCUGCACGAAUGGCGUAAUGAUGGCCAGGCUGUCUCCACCCGAGACUCAGUGAAAUUGAACUCGCUGUGAAGAUGCAGUGUACCCGCGGCAAGACGGAAAGACCCCGUGAACCUUUACUAUAGCUUGACACUGAACAUUGAGCCUUGAUGUGUAGGAUAGGUGGGAGGCUUUGAAGUGUGGACGCCAGUCUGCAUGGAGCCGACCUUGAAAUACCACCCUUUAAUGUUUGAUGUUCUAACGUGGACCCGUAAUCCGGGUUGCGGACAGUGUCUGGUGGGUAGUUUGACUGGGGCGGUCUCCUCCUAAAGAGUAACGGAGGAGCACGAAGGUUGGCUAAUCCUGGUCGGACAUCAGGAGGUUAGUGCAAUGGCAUAAGCCAGCUUGACUGCGAGCGUGACGGCGCGAGCAGGUGCGAAAGCAGGUCAUAGUGAUCCGGUGGUUCUGAAUGGAAGGGCCAUCGCUCAACGGAUAAAAGGUACUCCGGGGAUAACAGGCUGAUACCGCCCAAGAGUUCAUAUCGACGGCGGUGUUUGGCACCUCGAUGUCGGCUCAUCACAUCCUGGGGCUGAAGUAGGUCCCAAGGGUAUGGCUGUUCGCCAUUUAAAGUGGUACGCGAGCUGGGUUUAGAACGUCGUGAGACAGUUCGGUCCCUAUCUGCCGUGGGCGCUGGAGAA